UUUAAAAUUACUUAAUUAAAAUUCUAGAAUGAUACAAUUCCAGUGGGUUACAUUAGUCUUACUUUUACCUUCCUCAUCUAGUUUUCUCUUAUAGUAUUUUUCUUUGCUAGAAUUAUUGGAGAUGACUACAGCCCAGCAGACUGCUUAACUAUUAACUUAUUACUUAAGAAAACACUAAAAUAAUAUAAAGUAUUCGUUGUAAGCACAAAGAUGUUAAACUCAGCUUGAUAUUGAUGUGAUGUCUCUCUGCUCCAAGGAUGUAGCUAACUUAUGCUCAAAAAGCCUUUUGGGAAAGACUUCCGUUUUCUGAGAUUUUCUAUCCAUCUUUUCUUUCUUUCUGUUUUCUUUGAACUGAAAUUAUUCCAUCAGUUAGCCACCGAGUCUGAUUUUAUAAUCUGCUUGCAGUUCAACAGGAGGGAACCAAAGAUGUACACACUCUUUUCCCUUUAUGCCCGGGAUGCAGUAAGAUUAGCAGAACACACAGAUCAUUGCCUGGGCAUGCAAGUAUUGCUAUGCACAGGACAGACCUCUGGUGCUUCCACUUUUCUCCCCCUCUUAGUGACAGAAAACCCAUUGGACUCCAGCAGCAGUUAAGCUCCGGCAGCCAUUGGCCCCAGAACUCUACCUUCUGCCUUUCAGUAGGUAGAGGCCAGCCGGGGAGGUGGCCAAUCGGGCGGUCUGUAUCCAGGAGAACGUGGCACAGUUAGCUAUUUAAAUCCAUCCAGGAUGAUGUCAGCAAGCAGAGCUGAAAGGGUUAGGAGCACGCUAAAGGAGAGGAGGAAUCUUGUCAGGCUGCAUUAUUUACAGAGACCCGGGCUGAGGCUAAGCAGAGAGGAACACACCCACUACCUGUGCCCUGAGCCAAACUCCUCACGCCUCCAAGCUGCUUCCUCUCUGCCUCGAGAAAGGAGGAAUGGCUGCAGAAAAUAAUUUGACACUAAAUGAGACGGGGAGAGCUUAAUUCUUACAUGAUUUUUUUUUCAACUGGAAGAGCAGCUUUCUACUUAGAUAAAAAUGCACAAACCGGCUCUGGUUUGCACAUUGCUGGGGUUUUACCGGAAAGCUGGUCCGACUCACACCCGCUGAUAAGAGAAAAGCGUUUGUUCCCGCCUCUGGAAGUCUGUGGUCCCAAUAACCCAGCGUGAGACUUGCAAAAAUGGUUCUCAGCUUAGACGCCGUUUUGCAGCACGAGCAAAAUGUUCAGGCUCAGGAAAUGAUGCUAAAGGCAUUUUGAAAAAUGUAAGAUGGGCCUGACACAGCGCUGGCACAGGAUACAUGACGGAAGCAGCGUGAGUUUCCAAAUUGGAAGGUGCUGUGUUACAAACUGCUCUGGCAAUAAUGGAAUCACGAAGCAGUGAUGUCACAUGUAUGGAUACAGAAUGCGUUGGCCAAAUAAUACAUUUUUAAGCAUAAAAACUAGACUGCUGUGUGGGUAUGACACAGUUCUGGUCCAUGAAAUACAAGAAGAAUACAGCGGAGGCGCUUCUGGGAAAUUUUCCCUUCUCAGUGUAAAGAGCAUGUGAAAGGGCUCGGCCUCUCCCCUCUCUUCCCUGCUCCGAGAGGCUUGUGUGAGGAUGUACAAGUCAGUACUGCUAUUGCUGUCUUGGGACCAGGUGGGGAGACAUGACUGAUAUUCCUUAAUGCCACCCCUCAGCUGCAGGGCCAACCCUGAAACAGUACGCUUUGAGAUUUACAGUGAAAUAAAAUGCUAAAUGUCCUUGCUAUUUAUUUAUACUACUUUUCAUGGGGAGGGGGGUGGUUAUCCUGUUAUUCACAGCUGAAAGCUUCCAAGAUAUAGACAUCUCAUUCAGUAAUGCCUCACAGGUGAGUCUGACAAAGAAUAGGAGGUUUUUGAUGGUCUCUCCUAUAGA